rnacentral:RNase_P_RNA from 1 species
GCGGAGGGCUGGAUGACCGCGGUCCCGGAUCAAGUCCGGGAUCGAGGAAAGUCCGGACUCCCGUUGGCAAGGGUGCCGGGUAACGCCCGGCGGGGGAAACCCCAGGGAAAGCGCCACAGAGAAGAGACUGCCACGACCCCGGGGGUUCGCCUUCGGAUCAGCGUGGUAACGGUGAAACGGUGGGGUAAAAGCCCACCGCGGGACUGGUAACAGGACCGGCACGGCAAGCCCCACCCGGAGCAAUGCCAAAUAGGGGCCUCGCGCGGGGGCUGGUCCCGGAUCUCGGUCCGGGAUACCGCCCGCAGGGAUGCCAACGCCCGAGAGGCCCGGGUUGGCAGCUUGACUCCCCUUGGUAACAGGGGGGGCAGAGGAAUGGUCAUCCAUGGUCGCAAGGCCAGGACAAAAUCCGGCUUACAGGCUCUCCGCGCGC